rnacentral:rRNA from 1 species
GAUGAACGCUGGCGGCGUGCCUAAUACAUGCAAGUCGAGCGAACAGACGAGGAGCUUGCUCCUCUGACGUUAGCGGCGGACGGGUGAGUAACACGUGGAUAACCUACCUAUAAGACUGGGAUAACUUCGGGAAACCGGAGCUAAUACCGGAUAACAUGUUGAACCGCAUGGUUCAACAGUGAAAGACGGUUUUGCUGUCACUUAUAGAUGGAUCCGCGUCGCAUUAGCUAGUUGGUAGGGUAACGGCUUACCAAGGCAACGAUGCGUAGCCGACCUGAGAGGGUGAUCGGCCACACUGGAACUGAGACACGGUCCAGACUCCUACGGGAGGCAGCAGUAGGGAAUCUUCCGCAAUGGGCGAAAGCCUGACGGAGCAACGCCGCGUGAGUGAAGAAGGUCUUCGGAUCGUAAAACUCUGUUAUUAGGGAAGAACAAAUGUGUAAGUAACUAUGCACGUCUUGACGGUACCUAAUCAGAAAGCCACGGCUAACUACGUG